rnacentral:rRNA from 1 species
GUAGGGUGCGAGCGUUAAUCGGAAUUACUGGGCGUAAAGCGUGCGCAGGCGGUUGGGUAAGACAGAUGUGAAAUCCCCGGGCUUAACCUGGGAACUGCAUUUGUGACUGUCCGACUGGAGUAUGUCGGAGGGGGGUGGAAUUCCAAGUGUAGCAGUGAAAUGCGUAGAUAUUUGGAAGAACACCGAUGGCGAAGGCAGCCCCCUGGGGCAAAACUGACGCUCAUGCACGAAAGCGUGGGGAGCAAACAGGAUUAGAUACCCUGGUAGUCCACGCCCUAAACGAUGUCUACUGGUUGUUGGAGGGUAAAACCUUCAGUAACGAAGCUAACGCGUGAAGUAGACCGCCUGGGGAGU